GCAGAGCAGGGCGGUUGAUCUGAGAAAUACCGGCGAACUUGAUCUGGAUAAUACCAGCGAAAGGACAUGCUUCUUGACAUCC
rnacentral:ncRNA from 1 species